rnacentral:sRNA from 1 species
AUGCACCACUCGGAUACUCCGUUCCUCUAUGCUGUCCACGCCCGGCUGACGGCUGCUCGCUAAGCGUCGGUAGCC